rnacentral:rRNA from 1 species
UGCGAAGCGAAGCAGCGAUGUGAAGCAAAUCGCACCAAAGCCGGUCCCAGUUCGGAUAAGAGGCUGAAACUCGCCUCUUUGAAGUCGGAAUCGCUAGUAAUCGCAGAUCAGCAUGUUGCGGUGAAUACGUUUUCUGGUCUUGUACACACCGCCCGUCAAACCAUGAGAGUCGCCAACACCCGAAGUCCGCUUUGCGGCCUAAGGUGGGGGAGAUGAUUGGGGUUAAGUCGUAACAAGGUAAC